CCUACGGGUGGCAGCAGUGAGGAAUAUUGGGCAAUGGGCGCAAGCCUGACCCAGCAACGCCGCGUGAAGGAAGACGGCUCUCGGGUUGUAAACUUCUUUUAAGAGGGAAGCGCAGAACACGGUACCUCUUGACUAAGCCACGGCUAAAUACGAGCCAGCAGCCGCCGCCAUACGUAGGUGGCAAGCGUUGCCCGGGUUUACUGGGUUUAAAGGGCGUGCAGCCGGGAAGACAAGUCAGAUGUGAAAUCCCGCGGCUCAACCGCGGAACUGCAUUUGAAACUGUGUUUCUUGAGUACCGGAGAAGUCAUCGGAAUGCGUGGUGUAGCGGUGAAAUGCAUAGAUAUAAGGCAGAACACCGGUGGCGAAGGCAGAGGACUGGACGGCAACUGACGGUGAGGCGCGAAAGCGUGGGGAGCGAACAGGAUUAGAUACCCGAGUAGUC
rnacentral:rRNA from 1 species